AUGAUGGAAAAUGAAAGGGAUGACUAAAGUUUCCGUUCUUAGCAGAACACGGGGUGGGGUGGGGGAGCCGGCUGAGUUCCAGCUUUUGUGAGUUAAAAUGACGCUAUCAGCUCGUUUCUCCAUAAAACGAACUGGAAAAGAGAUACUCUGUGAGAUCAUCACCAUCAAACACUUCAAAGACUUUUCAUGGGGACCCACGCUAGUCCAUAGUACAAGCAAAUCUGUUCUCUCUGGAAGCUCGCAGCUUAAGACACGACGUGAUGUCCACUUCCGGCUCAAACUGAGUUCGGACUGCGCACGAAUCUGAUUUGUAAGAUUCCAAGGCCUUCAAGCCAAGAUCAGCCUGAUGGUUCCUGAAAUAACUGGGAAAACAAAUGCUUCAAGUGCCAGUUGAAGAUUGUGUCUAUGUAUAUUCGAAACCUUCUUUCUAUAUAUACGCAUUUACAUGAGAAGACAGGCUCAUUCUUGUGCACAUUUGGGAGUUUUUCAACUGAUGAAAAUUAAUUUAAGAAUCAGAUGGAGCAACUUGACACUUCUGGGCGCAGGAGCCCAGGGAGAAAAGUAUAUCACUAAUGGCCAAUUUUCCAUAUGGCCUUCAUGGGUAAAGAGAAUUUGCAAAAAGAAGAAAAAAAUUUGCAUAGAUUAAGCCUCAAAAAUACCUCUCCAGUUUAAAGAAGGAAAUAAAUGAGAAGGUGAUCACAGAAGUGUGAAUUCAACAUUGCAGGUGGGAUCAUGCAGUGUUUUUUCACUUUAUUUUUUAUUAGGUUUAAUGAUUUGGACAGAGUUUAAAAUUCUGGACUGAAAAGUAACUUACUGUGGUUGUUACUGAAGGAAAGCAAGUUCAGGUGUGAUGGGACAAGUCUGAACAUUGAACUGAUUCCAUCACUUUGCCUUUUUCAGUUAACUGUAUUUGAGGAUUUUAAUUUAUUAUUUUCCUUUUCUGCACCUGUAGGAUAAUAUCUUAAAAUAGCAAUUGGAACCAAUAAUUACAAAAGUAAACAUCAAGGAAAACCCAAGCAAAGCUUCCUUUUGCCUGGAUGAAAGGCUGUGGAAACAAGCUCUGAAUGGGAACAAGAAGGUGCCCAUUGGCACAGUGACUCUAGGGAAAUGGUGCAAUCCUGGGGACUCUGAUACUAGCUUGGGUGUAUGGUUAGAGGGAUUGUCAGCUGUGUUGAGUCUAAGAACACUUGCAUAUGAGAAGAUUUGGACUUAAUGCUGAGAUUAUUUUUUUCAUUGAAAUGAAAAAGCACAUGAGCUUUAGGAAUAGAAAAGAGGAGAAGUAACUGGAAAGUGAGAAAGAGUCCAGCAAAAGAAACAAGAGUGUUACUCUGUUAGUCAGCAGAAUUAGGAUUACCUUAAGGCAAAUACUUGGUCUGCUUUAAUAGCUUUUUUCUC
rnacentral:lncRNA from 1 species